UGAGACCUACGGACGCAGCAGUAGGGAAUCUUCCACAAUGGGCGAAAGCCCGAUGGAGCAACGCCGCGUGAGUGAAGAAGGGUUUCGGCUCGUAAAGCUCUGUUGGUAGUGAAGAAAGAUAGAGGUAGUAACUGGCCUUUAUUUGACGGUAAUUACUUAGAAAGUCACGGCUAACUACGUGCCAGCAGCCGCGGUAAUACGUAGGUGGCAAGCGUUGUCCGGAUUUAUUGGGCGUAAAGGGAACGCAGGCGGUCUUUUUAGUCUGAU
rnacentral:rRNA from 1 species